CUGACGAAGUGUAAUAAAAACAACGAAAAAAUAUACCUAUGGACUUUCUCCAUUACGAUGCCACUCUCUUCUUUGUCGUCAUCAUCAUCCUCCUCUCAAUCUAUCUCUUACUUAAGCGGUACUACUCCAAUAAGAAACCCUCCAAGAACCUCCCUCCAAGUCCUCCAUCACUCCCUUUCAUUGGCCACCUUCACCUCCUCAGACUCCCUCGCCAUCUCUCCAUCCACUCCCUUUCCAAACUCUACGGCCCCGUCGUUGCCCUCCGUCUCGGCUCUCGUAACGCCAUCAUUCUUUCCUCUCCGGCCGCCGUCAAAGAGGCCCUUGUCAAAAAUGACCCCAUCUUCUCCAACCGCCCCAGAAUCAAAGCCGGAGACGUCCUUGGUUACAAGAACACCUCCAUUUUCUUCUCACCUCACGGCCCUCACUGGCGCAACCUCCGUCGUCUCAUCUCCUUACAACUCUUCGCCACUCGCCCGCUCAACCUCCUCGCCGGAAUCCGAUCCAAUGAGUUCCUCUCCCUCAUCCAGAGCAUGGUCAAAACCUCUUCUUCUGGCGAGAUUGAGUUCAAAGCAAGGUUCUUUGAAAUGACUUACAAUACAAUAUCCAAGAUGGUAGUCGGAAAUGGUGUUGAAGCUGAUGUUGCCAUUCAAUUUAUGGACAUAAUCCGUGAGGUAAUUGAUCUCGUCUCCUCCUUCAAUCCAAGAGAUUUUUUCCCGGCAUUGGGGUGGUUGGAUUUGCUUGGUGUUGAGAGGAGGAUGGAGAGGAUAUUUUCAAGGUUAGACGGAUUCAUCACCGAGAUCAUUGAGGAGCACCGGAGAAGGAGAAGGAGGAGGAGUGAGGGUGUCAAUGCGGGCGAAGAAGAUGAGGAGAGAAAUCCACUUGACGUCAUGCUAUCCAUGCAAGAAGCUGAUCCAGAGACAUACACAGAUGACGUCAUCAAGGGCCAUAUCCUGAUAAUGUUAGCGGCGAACGAAACAACAACGGAAACUAUUGAGACGGCAAUGUUGUUACUUUUGAGCCAUGCAGAGGUAAUGAAGAAGGCCAAGAUGGAGAUAGACAUGAAUGUAGGGCAUGACAGCAUCCUAGACGAGUCAGACCUCCUUAAGCUCCCAUACCUCAAAUACAUCAUCAAAGAAACUCUUCGGCUAUCACCUCCGAUGCAAGGCAUACCACCCCGAGCCUCGUCCGGCGACUGCACCAUCCAGGGUUACCACGUUCCUAAAGGCACAAUGCUCUUUGUUAAUGUUUGGUGUAAGUUUUAAGGGGAGCAGCUUGCUUGCUUGCUGAUUGGCAUCUUCAGGAGGCCGAAAUUCCAGCUUUUUCUUCUCUUAAAGCUUGGAGUUGGAGGGAGAUUCUCUUCACCGGCGGAUCCUCGGAGAGAUUAAAGGAGAAGAUCAAGUUUAGGUCUGGGGGGUGUCAGAGAGUCGUAUUGUCUGCGUUAUCAGUAUCUUGUUAUUACCUGCUUGAGAGUGGUUGACUCUGACCAGGUUUUUAGCUGAGGCCUUGCACCCAGUGGGGCCCAGUCCCAUUGGAUGCGGCCGAUCUGUCCGCGGGCCCGGCUGUGGGGCUGGGACGUGACAUUUGGGGCCUUCAAAAAGACCCGGAGUUAUGGGAUGAUGCCAUGAACUUCAAGCCUGAAAGAUUUGCUAGAGAGAAAGAAGAAGGAGAUAUCAAGUAUAUACCAUUCGGUGCUGGAAGAAGGAAGUGCCCCGGUGAGCAUUUGGGCAUGCGCAUUGUCAUGGCUGGAGUGGGAGCGUUUGUCCAAUGCUUUGAUUGGGAGAUGAUGAGCAAAGAGGAGGUUGAUCUCAAUUCACUACUUGGCCUCACUGUGCCUAAGGGAAAGCCUGUGGUGGCUAAGUAUAAGGUACGUGACUGCAUGGUUGAUACUCUUUCUAAGAUUUAGCGUAAGAUAAUUAUGUAUGGAUGUAAUAAUGGAGAGACUAUAUAUCAGCUGCUGCAUCUCUCGGAAUCAAUAACAAAAUUUGUUUGUAUAUAUGUAUAUAUAUUACAUGCGUGUAUAUAUAUAUAUAUAUGUUUGAUGAUGUCUCUAUAUAUGUAAGGAGAUAUAUAGAUCAAGAACCUAGUGUCAGAUAUAUUGGACCUGAAUCUUGUCAUGUAAAUGGCAUUAUGACACACGGGAUUGUAAUACAGUGUUUUUGACUCAGUU